ensembl:lncRNA SGO1-AS1 SGO1 antisense RNA 1
AUUCUUCAUGCCAUGUGACCUCUACUGGGGGGAUGGAGGAGGGAUGGCAUUGGUGAUUCAAGACUGUCUUUCCUACACUCUUCAGUGCCUCUUUCAGUGAUAUGAAGUUAAAUCCAGGCUGGAUUCUGGGAAGUGAACUUAUGGAAUCAAAGGUUAUGCAAACAUAGACUCUUGUUACUUCCUGUGGAACCCGUGGAUUGGAAGGUUAUCUAGGCUGCUGCAGAACUCUUCCACCCUGUGCACAGAGAAGUACAUAAAGUGGUUAAAGACUACACCUGCAGGUUUGUUGCAUGAGUAAAUUCCUGAUUCUGAGGCUUGGAGUUACAAUGAUCCCAUUACUCAGGCAGUGAGAAUAUUACCCAACACGUAGAUCUUCAAGGCAAUGAAGAUGGACAAGGAACAUAUGCCAGUGCACAUCUAUUAUAAGCCAUUUAUCCCAGACUGUGAUGCAAGUGUGCUUAAGUCUGAAAUGCAAGUGACUCGUACUUACAGGCAAAAUACAUUCCAGCUGAGGAAAAAAGGAUUUUUGUUGCUGAUUUAAUGGAGUGACAGCCUUUCAGAAGUCUUUAAAUUCACCAUUUUCACUGAUGUCACCCUGUUACCAGAAAGGAGUCCUAAUUCUGACCCCAAGAGAAGGUCCUUAAAUCUCGUGCAAGAAAGAUUUCAGGAUUCAAAGAAUUAGCUGGACUAUGUCUCCAGGUGGAUGACUCUAUGGAAACUUUGAGCUGUAUGGAACAACCUCCUGAUCAUCCAUUUACCUUGCUUUGGUACAUUAGGACUUUAAUAGAAACUGCCUAAUGUGCAGACGGAGUCUCACUCUUGUCACACAGGCUGGAGUGCAGUGGCAUGAUCUUGGCUCACUGCAACCUCCCCCUUCCAGGUUCAAGCGAUUCUCCUGCCUCAGCCUCCUGAGUAACUGGGAUUACAGGUGCCCACCACCACAUCCAGCUAAUUUUUGUACUUUCUGUAAAGAUGGGGUUUCGCCACGUUGGCCAGGCUGGUCUCGAACUCCUGACCUCAGGUGAUCCGCCAGCCUCCACCUCCCAAAGUGCUGGGAUUACAGGUGUGAGCCACCACACCUGGCCUAUUUUAAGUUUAUCUGUAGAUUCCUUUGGGCUUCUAUAUUGACAAGCACAUCAUUUGCAAAUAAUGACAGUCUUGCUUCUUCCUUUCCAAGUAUUCAAGUUGUGUAUUUCUUUUUCUUUUCUUAUUGUACAGGCUAGUACCUUCCAUAAAAUGUUGGAUGAAAAUAGCUAUAGUGGUGGCUUGCCGAUUUUGUCGUUUUUUUGACAAGGUCACAUUCUGUGAUCCAGGCUAGAGUGCAGUGGUGCCAUUAUAGCUCACUGAACCUCCUGGGCUCAAGCAGUCCUUUCGCCUCAGCCGUCUGAGUAGCUUGGACUACAAUUGGACUACAAGAACAUACCACUGCUGCUGUUUUUUAUUUUUUAUUUUUUUGUAUAGAUGAGAUCUCACUAAAUUGUCCAGGCUGAUCUGGAACUCCUGAGCUCAAGUAAUCCUCCCCCCUUGGCCUCCAAAAGCGCUAGAAUUAUAGGCAUGAGCCACCAUAACCAUCGUUGUUUAUUAUUUUAAUGGAAAAUUUUUAGUUUUCAACACUGCAUGUAUUAUCUUUUUGUAGAUUGUCGUUAAACAAGUGUCUAUUUAUUUGCUCACAUUGAG